AGCAGCCGCGGUAAUUCCAGCUCCAAUAGCGUAUAUUAAAGUUGUUGCAGUUAAAAAGCUCGUAGUUGAAUUUCGGGAUCAAUAUGUUGGUCGUGCCUCGGUACGUACUAGCUUAUUGGUUUCUCCUUUCUGAAGAACCAUGAUGUCAUUUAUUUGGUGUCGUGGGGAAUCAGGACUGUUACUUUGAAAAAUUAGAGUGUUUAAAGCAGGCUCACGCUUGAAUACAUUAGCAUGGAAUAAUGAAAUAGGACGUUUGAUUCUAUUUUGUUGGUUUCUAGGAUCGACGUAAUGAUUAAUAGGGAUAGUUGGGGGCAUUAGUAUUCAAUUGUCAGAGGUGAAAUUCUUGGAUUUAUUGAAGACUAACUACUGCGAAAGCAUUUGCCAAGGAUGUUUUCAUUAAUCAAGAACGAAAGUUAGGGGAUCGAAGACGAUCAGAUACCGUCGUAGUCUUAACCAUAAACUAUGCCGACUAGGGAUCGGAUGAUGUUGAUUUUUUAAUGUA
rnacentral:misc_RNA from 1 species